rnacentral:rRNA from 1 species
GACGAACGCUGGCGGCGUGCUUAACACAUGCAAGUCGAGCGGUAAGGCCUUUCGGGGUACACGAGCGGCGAACGGGUGAGUAACACGUGGGUGACCUGCCCUUCACUCUGGGAUAAGCCUGGGAAACUGGGUCUAAUACCGGAUAUUCACGCAUCCUCGCAUGGGGGUGGGGUGGAAAGUUUUUCGGUGGGGGAGUGGCCCGCGGCCUAUCAGCUUGUUGGUGGGGUGGAUGGCCUACCAAGGCGACGACGGGUAGCCGGCCUGAGAGGGCGACCGGCCACACUGGGACUNAGACACGGCCCAGACUCCUACGGGAGGCAGCAGUGGGGAAUAUUGCGCAAUGGGCGGAAGCCUGACGCAGCGACGCCGCGU